AUGACUGUCUGCUCUGAGGCAUCCUGGAGAGCAUCCAGCUCCAUCAGCUUUUUCUUGGCUCUAGAGCAGGUGGACAACCACAAUGCACCUCUUGCCACACCUCCUCCAACUUACCAACCCCAUGCUUUGUUGUCAGCAGCAGAAAGGGGCAUCACAUUUCCAACAUCUCAUCACAGGUUGCACCAAUCCAGCAAAGCCAAGAAUGCUUCUGGCCCAGCCAUCUCCUUCAGUCACCCAACUGCCAUGGGCAAUGAGGGGCGUUCUGUGGGCUGGAUACCUCUUUGGGAACCCCGUGCAGAGACAGAAUGGAGUGUGGCCAGCACUGCAACCUCUGGCACGUCUCUUCCCAGACAGCAUGUCCUGAGCACAAACCCUGACUGCCCAGCUGCAGGCAGACAUCACAGUCUGGCUUCCUCCUUCAGCUUGGGGGUAAAGGUUAAGAAGCAGAUGGGUUGUUUUGUAAUCUUGUUACAGUAAUGACUCCAUUACAUAAACGAUCACUUCUACUAUACCGUGCUACUUCUUUUCCAGCAAUUCUUCAAAGAAACCGCAUCCAGAUAUUCUGCCUGGGACAUUUAAUUACUGCAGCUUCUAUUACUUCGAGAUGCUGAAAACAGCCGGGUGCCUGUUAGAGUCAUCCCAGCUCAACUUCCAAACCAGCCCACAGCUGGGAGGAGAGCAGACCGAUCUGCACCACAAAUUCCCCGCUGCCCAGCCUUGCUGUGCUCUCUGGUCAGUGUGGCAGGUGGCAUUCCCACCUCCCAGGAUUGUUAUUUUCUCCUGACAGUCCAUGAGGGCUCUUUGAAGCUGUACUCACACACACACCUGGUGUCCUCAGCCCAUAGGAGGAAGGAAAGGGUUAUUUAGAGAGGGGCUGUGGCUCCAGCCCAGUGCCAUGCUGUCUUUAAGCACUGUGGUUGAGAAGGCACUCAUUUUGCAUUGUCUCUGUGUUUCCACAUGUCUGAUAAGGGAACCUGCUCUCACGUGGCAGCACAUGGAGGCUGGGAUGCUGAAUAAUGCUGUUAUGCCUCCAUUUCUCUGGGGAAGGAAGAACAAAACAGACAAUUUCUGGCUUAUCAGAUUGCUUCAGAGGAUAUUCCACAGUGCACGGUGUGAAAAUAAUCUCAGUGAAAAUAAUAGCAGGCCUCCUCAUUUUAAAUAUGCAAUUGUCCUUCAGAUUUUGAGAAGCUCUAAAUACUUGUCCCUGAGUGAUCUCCUUAUCAGUCACUGCUUCAGACACAUCCAUCCAGCUCCCAAAAACUCCCUUCUGAAACAGGUCUGUUUUUCCUUACGGGCAAAACCCUGAUUUUUUCCCUGUACUUUCUCCUGCAAGGUCAGCCCUGAGGAUUUAAGUCACUUCUUGAUUUGAAAAGAGCACGGACAUCACACCAGUGGGUAUGGACGUCACUGGGGCAAGGUAAAGGGCAAGGUAACUUGUACUUCAGCACUGCAGGCUAUCUUGCCAACACAGGAUUCU
rnacentral:lncRNA from 1 species